CAGAGGUCCCAAGCGUUGUUCGGAUUUACUGGGCGUAAAGGGUGCGUAGGCGGUCGGGUAAGUCUGAUGUGAAAUCUCCGGGCUCAACCCGGAAAUGGCAUUGGAUACUAUUCGGCUCGAGAGUUGAGGGGGACUGGAAUACUUGGUGUAGCAGUGAAAUGCGUAGAUAUCAAGUGGAACACCAGUGGCGAAGGCGAGUCCCUGGACAACUUCUGACGCUGAGGCACGAAAGCUAGGGGAGCAAACAGGAUUAGAUACCCUGGUAGUCCUAGCUGUAAACGGUGCACGUUUGCUGUAAAAGGAAUCGACCCCUUUUGUGGCGAAGCUAACGCGAUAAACGUGCCGCCUGGGAAGUACGGUCGCAAGAUUA
rnacentral:rRNA from 1 species